rnacentral:rRNA from 1 species
GGCGGCGCGCCUAAUACAUGCAAGUCGAGCGAGAACGGGGCUUCGGCCCUGGGGAGAGCGGCGAACGGGUGCGUAUCACGUGAGCAACCUGCCUCGGAGACCGGAAUAACUCGAGGAAACUCGGGCUAAUGCCGGAUGCCCUCGGUGGACCGCAUGGUCCGGCGAGGAAAUGGAUUCCGCUCCGAGAUGGGCUCGCGGCCUAUCAGCUUGUUGGUGGGGUAACGGCCUACCAAGGCGACAACGGGUAGCUGGUCUGAGAGGACGAUCAGCCACACUGGGACUGAGACACGGCCCANACUCCUACGGGAGGCAGCAGUAGGGAAUCUUGCGCAAUGGGGGAAACCCUGACGCAGCGACGCCGCGUGCGGGAUGAAGGCCUUCGGGUCGUAAACCGCUUUCAGCAGGGACGAAAUUGACGGUNCCUGCAGAAGAAG